rnacentral:tRNA from 4 species
AUUUAUAAAGGUUUUAACCCUUUUCUUUUUA